UCAAAAAAAACAAAGGCUGCAUGAAGAAGGUUGGCCAGGUUAAAAAACUGAAUCUGCUGCAAUCACAUAGGAUGCUAAAGCCAAUACAAGGCAGGAGUAAAUAAUCCAGCUGAUAGCAGGAACAAGUAGAAGGAAGCAAACAAAAGAUGAACCAAAUGAGCUGACAAAAAGCAUGCCUUUGAAAGAAGGAGAUGGAGAAAAAAACAGGCUUGGAAGGAACCCUAAAAUGUACAGGGGUGAAGUGAAUGCAUGAACUAUGGUGUGCCAAGCAAGGGGUCACACUGACUAUGCCACAGUUUCUUUUCUACUCAUCCAAAGGGCCAUAACUGUUGUCAUCCAACUAGAAAUCAGCUGGAUAAUACACCUGGAUCCACUACCUGGGAAAUGUUCCUACCCUGAACAGCACAGCUGAAAGAAAGGAAUGAAAGGAAGUAGAAGUAGGGGUGAAAGGACAAGCUUGUUGCUACUACAGUUACCCUCAUCUGAUGUUACAAUUGCGGGUAUGUAUAAGGACAGAGUAUUCAAGAAGGACAUUCAGCAUGUCUGGGAAACUCAGUCCUUAAUGGCAUUCUGCAGUAUCAUAAACAGCAGCCUUCUCCUAGUUUUCCAUUUUCCAGGUUUGUAAGUUUUGAACUAUUACCAAAUAAGAUAUGCAUAUCAAUCUAUAAAUUAAAUAAUCAUUUAUAAGAAGAGACAUCAAUACCAAAUAAAAGAUAAAAACUCACAAAGAUGAAACGUCAGUCAAAACCUAAAAUUGUCCUGAAAAUGCAAAUUUUUAGAAAGAAUCAAAAUACAGAAUCAAAAUACAGCCCCACCAAACCAAACCAAACCACUGAUGCAAAGUAAUAUAAAGUGAUAUAAUUUUCUUACUUACAUUCACUUUUACAGCAUAUAGUGCUUUAAGUUUUAUUCUGCAUCCAGCAACAUGAAAAUUUUUUAAAAGUGAAAGUUGAACUAUCAUGUGAUUGAAGAGGCACCUAAAAAAGCUCCUACAAAAACUAUCUGUAUUUGGUAAGACAUGGAAUCAAAUAAUGAGAGAGCACACUAUACAAGUUUGAAAUUCAAGUCUAUUUAGCAGCAAUUCAUAACUGGUGAACAGUUAAUACUCAAAACCAUGAACUGAGAACAAAGUAAAUGCAGACAAAAGCCAUAACUAAGCUCAUACAGCAAUGUCCAUACAUUUCAAGGAAGUAGGUAAAUCAGAGAUAAUUAUGUGAAAGAUGAUGUAGGAACAAGCAAAUCUUACAUGUGGGAAAUUAAAAUACAUAUCUUUGAAAAUUUAGCAUUGAAAACCUUGAAAAGUACUGAUUUGUUCCCAGUAAAAUAUUCAAGGAUUUCAAAAUAAACAAGAUGAAGAUACCAGGAAAGGUAGUGGCAUAAAGAAGAAGGGCUAAAGGUGUUGACAUAAUAAAUGCAUUUUGUUGAUGUAAGGAAAGAAGACAAAAAUAAAAGGACUAUAAUAGAUAAUUCUGUCUACUGAUUUUUAAGGUCAAGAACUUGUUUUUAACCUCGAUGCUUGCAAUGAAUAUAUCACUUGUUCCACAGAAGAUUUCUUAUAAAACAAUGGGGAAGCAGAUGCUGGUUUUAAACUCAAGCAGAAUAGCAAGCCAGAAUGUGAGAAAAAUAGGCUGUUUCUAAAGGUCAAAACAUUUGACUUAAAACAAAAAUACGUUUAACUAUUUGAAUACUAAUUUCAUUUACAAAAAUUUAUGUAUGUGAAUGGAAAAAAAUACCACUUUCUAGACUAUAAUAACAUUAAAUAGAACGCCAUCAUAAUAUAAUGCCUGAUGUCUUUAAUUCUAAACAUACAUAUGCAUACUCACAUACAUACUUUCCUGAAUAUACUAUACUUAGGGAUUUGUUUUCCAUAAAGCUAUAGCAUGAUCACUUGAAAAAAUUCCAGCGUUUUUAUUUUUUUCAAAGAACAGUAGAAUGUCCUAGUGGAUGCAAAAGUCUAUGUUUGCUGUUAUGCUGUUAAUUUUAAUCAUAUAUAUUUGUGUUAGAGACCCAUAAUUGCUGUCAUUCUGGAUCAUUUGUUGCACCUAGCCCAGUCUAUUUGCCCACAAUCAUUGACAACAGAUGUUAUUACAUCUUGUAACAGAUGUUGUAUUCGCUGUACAUUAAAGUACAAGUGGUGCUGAAGAAAUAAUCAAAACAGAAAGAGAAGGUAGAAUCUGCCCUUAUCAAAGAUAAUUUCUUGGGAUCCACAGGUCUGAGUAACAGCACACACCAAUAAAAAUAUUCAGCUCUUUGUUGUGGAUCUCUUUACAGCUCUGUAGCUCAGUUCUUACCUGACAUUCUCAUUUGAUUUCAUAUCUGGUCACCUCUGCUGUUUGAAUCAUGUUGUCCCAUAGUGGUGAAUUUUUGACAGGAUCAUCCUACCUUGAUUCUUACCAGAAUCAAGGAUUUACAAAUGUAAUGAAACUUAUUGGAAAAUGCAGUUUAAUUAACUUGUUGACCUCCUACUGAGGUCAGAAGUUUCAGGCUGGUUUUUUGGUGUUUGGGGUUUUUUUGUUGUUGUUUUUGUUUGUUUGGUUUGUGGUUUGUUUUGUUUUGUUUUUUUGGGGUUUUUUGCAUUUAUAUGUAUUAAGACAAAUAAUUAAAUGCUGUUUAAAAAAAUAAAUCUGUAAUUAAGUGGCAAAUUUCUGGAAGACAGAUUUCAACAGAGUUUUCCAAAGAGCUGUCUCCUCAUUCCUCUUCUCCCCUCAAGUCAGCAUAUUGGAAGCAUGCAUUUGUUCUGUAGUAAUGAGGAGUUAAUUUACCACUUCUUCAUUCCUUAUUUGGAGAAAUCCAUAUGAAGAGAGGAAACUAUUUUUGCUCUAGGAACAUAUGGAAAGAAACAGGAGAAUUCACAUCUCACAUUAUCCACAAUCCUCAAAAUCAGAAUAAAGACAAAGAUAUUAAAAAUCAACUAACCGAACACCUUUGUAUCUUUUGAAAGUAUAGUUAAAUAUCAUCACAUUUCUCCCAUUGUUGUCUCUAUUUCUGCUUAUUAUUAUGAUUACAUCUAAAACAUUCUUAUUCUAUUCUGUUGUCUAUGAAAGUUGAUUCCUUGGCUUGAUAGAGCAUAAGGUCUUGGGUUGUAAUUCACUUUAUAUUGUGUCAGUAUCAGUUUGACUACACCCUCUUCUAUUCUGCAAGGAAUUUGUUUUUGUCUUCAGUCUUGCCUUUGUUGGAUCAAGUUGCUAGCUACCAUAAGGUGUCAAAGUCUCCUAAAAUUAUGUUACUGAUAAAUCUGUCCCAUGUUUAUUGGCCAGAAAAAGCUACUGAGAAGUGUCAAUGUUAAGUUAAAUAUUUUGCUUAGAUACUGGGCUGUGGAAGAAGACAGAGUAGUGCAACUUUUUUUCUCUUUUGGUAAAGUAGUAUCUUAAAGUGGUUUAGCUUACAAUUUGAAAAAAAUAAUCAUUUGUACAUAUUGUACAAACUCAUUAUUUCAUAUUGGUUAUGCUCUUAUUCAGAAGAGUUGAGUCUGAAGUUUUCAGUUUGAAGGUCCUAAAAACUUCUUCAUUAUGGUAAAAAGUAAACCUUUUUGUAGCUGCCACAAUGGUAUAGGUACAUUGCAAACCCCCAAAAUAUCCAGUUCAUCCUAUACAAAAUGUAGGAGUCUAAAUUCAGAUUACUUUUAAGUUGUUAAUAUUUCUUGUUUCCUCACCAGAUAAACUUACUGGAGGAAGUUGACUGGUGUAACUGAACAAAGCUGAAAUUGUUUUGUAAAACUAAAAGGCAUGAAUAAUUUUCUUUGUUGCAUUCAUCAGAAAAAAAUGGAACAAUCUCUAAGGAAAUAUUCAGCUUUCUCACCACAAUCACCACUGCAGAUUUCUUGUCAUCAAUAGCAUUUUACCAAUAACAUAUGCAUAUGUGUAUUAUGAAAAUAAAUUUUGAUUUUUUUUUAUUUUGACAUUACAUCAAACCACCAUUUUCAGUCUUCCAGACUGAAAGACACAAUAAGACAAGCUGAUCAUAUCAGUUUGUAAAUACAUCUAUACAGUAAAUAUUCUAACUACAUUUCUGAACUUCAUUAAUAACUUCUUUAAUAACAAAGUAAUAUGCCAUGGUCGAAAUGUUGCACUCAAAUUUCUAAUUUAUUCUUAUUUGGGCACAUAAGGAGGCAAUGAGUGUAUUAAAACCCCAGCAUGAGCGAUCAGGA